rnacentral:lncRNA from 1 species
CAAAUAUAUUAAAAACUCACAAUAUAAAUGUACCCUAACCAAAACAUGCUAGGUUAAAAUUUCUCCAUAUAUAUCUAUUUCACAUUCCUUUCUUGAGAACCUUGGGGUGUACAAGGAAUGAAAAGUCAUGCUCUGCAUAUUUAGGAUUAAUUCCUUGCAGACAUACCUUUUGUUCUCUGUCAUAAUUGUAGAAGAAUUCAUGAGAAGCAGCUGGCCAGCAAUCAAGGGAGAAAGGCCACCUGAGGAAGUGCCACAGUGAAGGAGUGAGGAACCCAACUGGGUAAGGUCAUGUCCAAAUAUGACAUGCAAGCUGAGAAUAUGAAGGAACACUCUGUGUUACCAGCAAUGGAGGGGCGACCCUGCUGCUUCAUCUCACUGUGGACUUUGUGCAAGCACAUAUGGCAUGUUCCACUGGGAAGACCUCCUGAGCAUACUCCACUGAAAGGGAUAGGAGCUGUAUUUAAAAAAACCCAUUGGCACCAAUUUGGAGUGGUUCUUUAA